rnacentral:rRNA from 1 species
GAUGAACGCUGGCGGCGUGCUUAACACAUGCAAGUCGAACGGAAAGGCCCUGCUUUUGUGGGGUGCUCGAGUGGCGAACGGGUGAGUAACACGUGAGUAACCUGCCCUUGACUUUGGGAUAACUUCAGGAAACUGGGGCUAAUACCGGAUAGGAGCUCCUGCUGCAUGGUGGGGGUUGGAAAGUUUCGGCGGUUGGGGAUGGACUCGCGGCUUAUCAGCUUGUUGGUGGGGUAGUGGCUUACCAAGGCUUUGACGGGUAGCCGGCCUGAGAGGGUGACCGGCAACAUUGGGACUGAGAUACGGCCCAGACUCCUACGGGAGGCAGCAGUGGGGAAUAUUGCACAAUGGGCGGAAGCCUGAUGCAGCAACGCCGCGUGCGGGAUGACGGCCUUCGGGUUGUAAACCGCUUUCGCCUGUGACGAAGCGUGAGUGACGGUAAUGGGUAAAGAAGCACCGGCUAACUACGUG